CAGCAGUCGCCGCGGUAAUACGAAGGGUGCAAGCGUUAAUCGGAAUUACUGGGCGUAAAGCGUGCGUAGGCGGUUUGUUAUGUCUGCUGUGAAAUCCCCGGGCUCAACCUGGGAAUGGCAGUGGAUACUGGCAAGCUAGAGUGUGUCAGAGGAUGGUGGAAUUCCCGGUGUAGCGGUGAAAUGCGUAGAGAUCGGGAGGAACAUCAGUGGCGAAGGCGGCCAUCUGGGACAACACUGACGCUGAGGUACGAAAGCGUGGGGAGCAAACAGGAUUAGAUACCCCUGUAGUCCCUGUCUCUUAUAC
rnacentral:rRNA from 1 species